AUUGCUUAUUGAAUUCAUUUCAUAACUUGUUCUUUUUUACGAGCUUGAUGAUUCUUAAAUAUGAUUUAGAAUUUUGUUGCUCCAAACAGGUAAGAUUUUGAAUUCUAGAUUUAGUAAAGGUAAGUAUAGCGGGAUGUGGUAGGUGUAUGGCACACGAUUGAAUCCUCGUUAUACCAAAUCUGGUAUUUAAAUGGACAAGGAUAAGUGAAUGGAAAAUUUGGUAAAGCUAAGUAUGCCGUGGGAUGUGUGGUAGGCAUUACGCCAGAAGAUUGAAUCCUCGUUAUACCAAAUCUGGUAUUUAAUAGUUCAGUGCAAUUUUUUUGGUAGUGAAAGUAGGCAAAGUGCUUGUGUAAAGUCUGUAUUUGUUAAUUUGGGUCAACAGAACUGUAGCUUGAUUUCUCUUCAGCUGGCAUGUCAAAAAAUUCUCUAAGAUGGAGUGUCCCUGAGGCAUUGAUUACUGCUGAAAUUGUAACUUGUAUCUGAAUACUUUUUUCUGCAAUCUGAACUACAGUAGGGUGAACCAGAACCAUUUAAGUCAUAUACUCAGAUAUCCUGUCCCUUACAAAGUAUCAGGAAGUAGUUCUCCUUUGUGGUACUCAAUCAAGAGAACUUCUACAUAUAUUAUCGUUUUAUCAACAUACUCUGCAACUUGUAAGCCAACAUCCACUUACUCAGUUAUGCAUUAUAUAUAUAAAAAAAACAAUGAAUUUAAGUCGUUGAGGGUUUAUUGGAACCAGUCUCUCUACCUGUCAAGGUAGGGUAAAGUCUCCAUACACUCUACCCUGGCCCUCCCCAAACACCACUUGAGGGAUUAUACUGAUUAUUUUGUUGUUGUUGAGUAUUUCGUAUCUUGAGUGGGGGUCUAUCGGAAACAGCCUUUCUACUUUUUUAGAGGUAGAGGUAUGGACUGUGUACAUCUUACCCUCCCCAGACCUCACUAUGUGGGAAUACACUGGGUUUAUUGUUGUUGUUGAUGAUGAUGAUGAUGAUGAUGAUGUUACUAAUAUAUAUUCUUGAUCACUCCAGAAACAACAUUACAAUGUGGGUUAUUUGUAGUAGAAAAGGUCAUACUUGUGCGUCCAUUUUUUGAGAUAUUUUCAGCAUGUAAAUCAUUUUAAGCAGCAGUACUACUAACAUUUUCCUUUGCUUAAUUCUCAGUAGCUUUGUUGUGGUUAUUAAGUUGAACUCUUGCCUUUUUAUUGGGAUUUUGGGUUGUGGGAUUACUAGAAUUAACAGUAAAAUUAUGGGGUCGGGGGUGCUGAUUCUUGACUCCAGAAUCAGCAUUACAAUCUUUGGGAUCUUUGCUAAUAAACUGAAAAUUAAAGUGAGAAUUCAUACCUAUUUUAUGCUAGUUUGUUGUCUUGUGUUGCUGCUGAUUUUCGGAUGUUGCUGUAGUGUUUUUUGAAGAGAAUUUGACCUGUAAAUCUAUUGCUGAGGUACUUGCUCCCUCAGAUUCUUAUUCUGCUGAUUGUGUUGCUGUUGUUGAUGAUUGUGUUUUCUACCCCUUCUUUUUUUCAUUUGCCAGUUUUCUUGUCCAGGUAUUUAUUGCCUUUCUUGUUGUUGAUCAUGUUUCUUUUGUUCUGCAGGUGCUGCUUUUUCAACUUCUUCAUUGGACUCAAUAUUGUUGUUAAUAUUCGGUUGCUUUUGUCCAAAGAAAGAAGUAUAAACAAUAAGUACCAUAGGUGAGAAAUUCCUUUGAAGAUACGACGCAGAAAAUUUCUUGUAUCUAGUCAUCCCUAAAGGAGUUUGCCGUUGAUCUUCUUUGUAUAUAAGAUGUUGAUAGUGAAGGUGACUUUGGCACGCUUUGGUUGAGUGGCCUGUGAUGCACUAGCAGAGGUUGCAACCACUGAACUGUUGUAUUGUUUCUGAAAAUUCACGUAAGUCUAUGAUAUUAUAUGAUCACAUAUAGUACAUAAGUCUAUGAUAUUAUAUCAUAUAAGUCUAUUUUCCAUAUGAAUUGUUCUAUAGUUUAUGUGUGAUGGCAUGGGCAUAUUUCUGAGUGUUGUCUGUUUUGUUCAAUUUGGUUGUUCUUUUUUUUUUCAAGUGGUUAAUAAAGAAAAUCAAUGGCAUCAAAAGGUCAUGGUAAUGGAUGGCGUAAUAAAGGUAAGAAAGGACCUGAUAAUAUUCCCGCAGGUCAAUAUACAACACCACCACCACUACCUGUUACCACAACUCUUCAACCAUCUACUACAAAUAUUCUUCCUCCUCCAAGGGAAACUAUUUCAUUACCAAAUGUAUUUUUCAUGCCCCCACCGCCCCACCAGUUCCAGCCCUUUUCUCCCCAUAAUAGUCUGCAUAGUAGCUCUUCAUUUGUACCUUCGACAUCAUCCACACCUAGUCUUUCUGGAUUGAGAAUUGAAGGUCCUAACACAUCAACAUCUCCAUCCAUUGAUAGUGCUAAAGAGUCUAAUGCUAAGAAGCUGCUUCCCAGAUUCUGAAAUUUAAAGAGGUAGCAGAAUAUGACGGCAACGGGAGGCUAAUUAUCGUCCCUGAUGGAAAUGGGUUCAUUUCCGCAUAUAGCGCCGGACAUAUGGUUAUAGAAGCAAUUAAACCAUUUUCUACGGAGCCGUAGGGUAGUUGGAACGAGAUUCAACUCGACAUCAGAAUUCUUAUGAGGAAACAGUUUGUGUCAAAGUGUGCAUGGAAUUCUUGUCAUGAAAAUGAAAUACAACGUAUUUUUAAGUUGAAAGCAGCUCUAUGGAUCACAGAACACUUGUAUGAGGCUCAAAGUAACUUGGAAAACCUGGUUGGCUGGAUGUUGAUGUGUGGGUAAAGUUUUUAGAAAAAUGGGAUACUUCUGAAUAUAGGGCGAGGAGGGAACGGGCAAAGGCAAAUAGAGCGUCUCAAAUGGGUGGCUCGUUGCACACUGAAGGAAUAUGAAAAUGGGGAAAAAGAGCCCAAUUUUCUUGAGGUCUACAAAGAGAUGCAUAGGAAGAAAAAGAAGGACGGUACAAGAGGAGAUUGGGUCGAAAUGCGUGCUAAAGAUGCAUAUGAAGAAUUUCAAAAAAGCAUAGAAGAUUAGAGUUAAACCCAACCUACUUCAGAGGAUGGUACCAUGGUCCAACCAUCACCUACAGAUAUAAUUAAUAUGUGGACAGCUGUGGUAGGUAAUCCAAAGAAAGGUAAAACCUACGGGACAGGGGUUUUCCAAUCUUCAAGUAGUCCUUCGUUGUUUCCCAAUUCCUCUUCUACUUUGCAAAGUAUGGAAGAAAUGGAAACAAUGAAAAAGCAAUUUGUGGAAUUGACACAGUAAUGUGCAGCUAACGAUGCUAAGUUUGCUAAAUUUGAGGAGUUGGUUAAGAAGCGCAUGCCUCAAGUAUUUCAUGAUGAGGAAGAGAGUGAACCUGAUGAUAAUUAGAUUGUAGUUAUUGUUCUUGUUUUUUGUUGUGACAUUUAAAUGUUUAAACUAUUUGAUUUGAUGUUUGUUUUAGAUGUUUUAAA